rnacentral:rRNA from 1 species
GAUGAACGCUGGCGGCGUGCCUAAUACAUGCAAGUCGAGCGAACAGACGAGGAGCUUGCUCCUCUGACGUUAGCGGCGGACGGGUGAGUAACACGUGGAUAACCUACCUAUAAGACUGGGAUAACUUCGGGAAACCGGAGCUAAUACCGGAUAAUAUAUUGAACCGCAUGGUUCAAUAGUGAAAGACGGUUUUGCUGUCACUUAUAGAUGGAUCCGCGCCGCAUUAGCUAGUUGGUAAGGUAACGGCUUACCAAGGCAACGAUGCGUAGCCGACCUGAGAGGGUGAUCGCCCACACUGGAACUGAGACACGGUCCAGACUGCUACGGGAGGCAGCAGUAGGGAAUCUUCCGCAAUGGGCGAAAGCCUGACGGAGCAACGCCGCGUGAGUGAUGAAGGUCUUCGGAUCGUAAAACUCUGUUAUUAGGGAAGAACAAAUGUGUAAGUAACUAUGCACGUCUUGACGGUACCUAAUCAGAAAGCCACGGCUAACUACGUG